GAAGUGUGAUUGACUUGGAGUUACAUUGUGUUGUUUAAGUGUUCCCUUUAUUUUUUUGAGCAGUGUAUGUUUUGACACAGCCAUCCAGCGGGCGACAGUUUUUCAUUAAUGUUUGUUAGGGUGCAGACUAUUGAGCCGAGUUAAGGGUGUGCAUUAUAAGAACAUGUGAACUAUAUUGACUGUGCCAUUGUGUAUUUUAAAUGUGAACGGUAGGCCUACUUCACAGCUGAAUGUAUACUGGGCUGUUAUUACUGGGUAGGACAAGAUGUUAAUACUCGACUAAAGGCUAUGGCAUGUUAAGAGUGAUGAUGCAACCAUAUAAAUAUAAUUUAAGUAGACCUACCGGACUUAUGAUUAUAUUUCUAAGGGUGUAACUCUGCUCUUUUCCCAUAGCAGCUGCAGCUUCACCAAUACGUUAUAUCAUCACAAAGGAAUGUCAUCAUCAACCCUGGGAUCCCUGGUGGAGUUCUACAGGAGAUCCUCUGGAAACAUGGUGUAAAUAAGGCGGUGAAAUGGGACACUGCCAGGAUACGGAGAUUUCGUGAUUUUAAAGGAAAGACAUCCUUGAACACCACGACUGGAGAAAUCACUAUCAGACAGCUGACCAAGCAGCUCAGUGGGGUGUAUGAUUGGUGGAAAAAUACAGACCUUUCAGCAGAGAGUGAAAUUCAUUGUAAAGUCAUUGUUUCCUAAAUGGAAGGUCGGGACUUGUGAUCCAAUGAUGGAUCGGGACCUCUUUUUAGGUACUAGCUAAAGACGGGGAUGUAACACAUUUAAAAAAUGUAAUCUUUAUUUAACUAGGCAAGUCAAUUAAGAGCAAAUUCUUAUUUACAAUGACGGCCUACCCCUAGCCAAACCAGGACAACGCUGGGCCGCCCUAUGGGACUUCCAAUCAUGGCCGGAUGUGAUACAGCCUGGAUUCGAACCAGGGACUGUAGUGACGGCUCUUGCACUGAGAUGCAGUGCUUUACACCGCUGCGCCACUCGGGAGCAAAACAUGUCAAAGGUUCAAACACAAAAAGGUUGCCAACGACUGUGUCAUGUGCUGUUAAAGUGCUGAACAGGAACCUUGGGAUUCCAUGGAUCCCCAUACUAGCAGCUUUUGAUGUCCUGGCCUUAGUUUUGUUUGUUGUUGGAGUAUUUCUGAUCUACAAGAAGUGUUAUAAAGACCAAUGCAAAGCCAAUAGAGACCCUGAGACCAGAUCUGUCUGCUCCAUUGGAGGUAUCACAGCUGAUCCUCAACACAGACAUCACAUCCACAUGCCUCAAUGUGGGCUGAGCCCUGGGAAUGGACCACUCAGAAGAGGUUCCAGAGAAGGCAGUGGGAACCAGCCACUCUGAAGAGGAUCCAGAGAAGGCAGUGGGAACCAGCCAUGCAGAGAGUGGGGAGAAGGAGAAGCAGCCAUUACUGGAACAAUAAUCUGGGGUUAAAGUAGAGGACAUAGUCAACCAGAUCACGCAGACCAGGGAGGGUGUGAGAACCAGAGAGAGUGAGGGAGAUAAGAACCCAUUACUGGACUAUGACAAGGCAGGAUCUACUGAUAACGUAGGUGGUACUGUGAGUAAUAACCAGUUGAAACUAAACAACUAGAAUCAGGGCAGAGGUUCCAACCAGCCUAAAUAUUAGAUGAGGACACCGACUAAGGAAUGUGAAGACGGAGAGGGGGAGGGAGAGAGAGGAAAGUGAAGAAAGAAAGUGAGGGAGAGGAAGAAGAUGGACUCAUCUCACCCCUUCCAAAGACCCCUCAGAUGUCACGUGCCAGCGAUGGAUACAGCCUGAACCACAAUCUAACACUCCCAACAGGUUCAGGAUAAACAGUGGGGGAACCGAGCUGACCAGGAGUUACAUGAGGAAAGUGACAAAGGAAAUGACUGAGAGACAGAGGGAGAGAGAGAUGGAGAGGAAAGGAGAGAUGUCGAUGGAGAGACGGAGGGAGAGACAGAGGGAAGAUGAGAUGCAGAGAGGGAGGAAAAGGAAGACGAGGAGACACAGAAUGAAGGAAAGGAAGAAGAGGGAUAUAGAAAAUAAGAAGGUGACGACCAACAACAGGAGGACAUCCACUCUGAGGUGGAGCCAGGGUCAGAGGAGCAAGAGGAGGAAUCCAGCAGAGACACACACACAACAGCCAGACUGACGGUCAGAGGUCUCCACCAACCCCUCAGAGAAUGGACUAAGAUGGAGCGUCCAGAGAGAGAGUAGGUGAAAGAACCUAACGUAUCCCAAACAAACACCUCCAUUCUAAAUUCCAUGAGGAGGAGAUGCACUGCAAUACUUAAUACAGCUGGUGGCCACACCAGAUACUGACUGUUACUUGAUUUUGACCCCCCCUUU